rnacentral:rRNA from 1 species
AACGAACGCUGGCGGCAUGCCUAACACAUGCAAGUCGAACGAGACCUUCGGGUCUAGUGGCGCACGGGUGCGUAGCGCGUGGGAACCUACCUUUAGGUUCGGAAUAACUCAGAGAAAUUUGAGCUAAUACCGGAUGAUGUCUUCGGACCAAAGAUUUAUUGCCUUUAGAUGGGGCCGCGUUGGAUUAGCUAGUUGGUGGGGUAAAGGCCUACCAAGGCGACGAUCCAUAGCUGGUCUGAGAGGAUGAUCAGCCACACUGGGACUGAGACACGGCCCAGACUCCUACGGGAGGCAGCAGUGGGGAAUAUUGGACAAUGGGCGAAAGCCUGAUCCAGCAAUGCCGCGUGAGUGAUGAAGGCCUUAGGGUUGUAAAGCUCUUUUACCCGAGAUGAUAAUGACAGUAUCGGGAGAAUAAGCUCCGGCUAACUCCGUGCCAGCCGCCGCCGUAAUAC